rnacentral:rRNA from 1 species
GACGAACGCUGGCGGCGUGCUUAACACAUGCAAGUCGAACGGAAAGGCCCUGCUUUUGUGGGGUGCUCGAGUGGCGAACGGGUGAGUAACACGUGAGUAACCUGCCCUUGACUUUGGGAUAACUUCAGGAAACUGGGGCUAAUACCGGAUAGGAGCUCCUGCUGCAUUGUGGGGGUUGGAAAGUUUCGGCGGUUGGGGAUGGACUCGCGGCUUAUCAGCUUGUUGGUGGGGUAGUGGCUUACCAAGGCUUUGACGGGUAGCCGGCCUGAGAGGGUGACCGGCCACAUUGGGACUGAGAUACGGCCCAGACUCCUACGGGAGGCAGCAGUGGGGAAUAUUGCACAAUGGGCGGAAGCCUGAUGCAGCAACGCCGCGUGCGGGAUGACGGCCUUCGGGUUGUAAACCGCUUUCGCCGGUGACGAAGCGUGAGUGACGGUAAUGGGUAAAGAAGCACCGGCUAACUACGUG